rnacentral:rRNA from 1 species
AUGGCAGACAACGCCGUCGUUCAUUGGCUCAACACCACCGUCUCCCCCGAGCUUCUGGACGCUGUGCAGCACGAGGACAUCGCACUAACCGUGUGGACGGCGAUCGACGGCCUCUUCCGCGAUAACUACCUCGCUCGGGCGGUCUACGUGGACGCCGAAUACCACGCCACCGUCCAGGGUGACAUGACCAUCAUGCAGUACUGCACCAAGCUGAAGACCUACGCCGACCAGCUGCGCGAUCUUGGGCAGCCCGUGACGGAUACGCAACAGGUGUUCCAUCUCGUGCGCGGGCUCGGCCGUCAGUACCAUGGCGCCAUACCGCACAUCACUGCGUGUACCUUGCUGCCCUCCUUCCUGCAGGCCUGUUCCUUCCUUCUUCUCGAGGAACACCAUGCCGAGCAGUUCGCGCGCCAGCAGGGUGCCCAUGCUCUCGUCGCCGGCCGUAGCGCUUGGCCCUCCAACCCUGCUCCACCGGCGCCCGUGGAUCCUUCCGCUGGACGUGGGCAGGGCCGUCAGCGUCGCCGCGAGCGUGGCAACGGCGUCCCCAACAACUCUACGGCGCCACCCGCGCCGCUCGCGCCCCCGGGGUGGGGGGGUGGGGGUGGGGUGGGGGGGUCUGCCACCUCCCGCACCUGGCUCCAACUCCUGGACAGGACUUGUUCAGGCAUGGCCCAUGCCGUGGCGCGCGCCGGGCUCUGGUGUCCUUGGCCCUCGGCCCGGCACCCCAAUGCAGCAAGCGAUGUACGCCGCGCCCCACGUGCCGCCGCCUGGUGGCUACGGUGCCCCUGCCUACGGCGCCCCACCCGCGUACGCUCCUGUGCCUGCUGGUCCGCCUCCUCAGCCGUGGGACAUGGUGUCCCUCCAGGCCGCUCUUCACAGUGCCACCGCCGAGCCCUCGUCGUCCGGCAGCACCUCCGACUGGUACUUGGACUCCGGCACGGCAUUUCACAUGUCCAACUCUUCUGGUAA